rnacentral:misc_RNA from 1 species
GAAAUGCGAUAAGUAAUGUGAAUUGCAGAAUUCAGUGAAUCAUCGAAUCUUUGAACGCACAUUGCGCCCUCUGGUAUUCCGGGGGGCAUGCCUGUUCGAGCGUCACAAAAACCUUCCUCACACUCUGUUGUGGUCAUGGCGGGUGUGCAUCGAGGCCUUUGCCAAAGCACACCGCUGAAAUCGAUUGGCGGACCGUCCUUGGGACUUGAUGUAGUAAGAUUUAUUUUCUCGUCAUGAACCCCUUGGGAAAGCUGUCCCGCCGUUGAACCCCCAAUACUUCUAUAGGUUGACCUCGGAUCAGGUAGGGAUACCCGCUGAACUUAA